UUUUUUUUUUUUUUUUUUCCUUUUUUUUCAUUUAUAUAUUACCAUCAUCCUGCAUAUACAAAUAUAUAUUUUGCAUGAUAAAUUUGUUUUUACAAACAUUUUUUUAUGAAUUUGUGUAUAUUUGCAUGUUUAUACAAUCACCAGUUUAUUUUUUCGUAAUAAGUUUACAUAUGCAUAUGUAUGUAUAAUAUGUAUAUAAAAAAAAAAAACGAUUUCAGUAUAAAAAAAAAAUUACACAAAAACUAACACUUACAUCUCCAUUUUUUUUACACUUUUCAUAUAAAAAAAUGUACAUUUUAUUUUUUAAAAAAAUAGCCUUUAUCUGGGGGUAAAAAUUAACAUGUUCUAAGUAGAUCAGGUGUACAUAUAUAUAUAUAUACAUACAUGUACAUAUUUAUGUAUACAUAUAGAAAUAUGCACAGGUCAUCAUGCAAAAUACAAAAAACCUAUCAGUUUUAAUUUACGUUGAAUUGUUUUAUUUUAUUUUAUUUUUUUUUUGAAAAAUGAUGAACAAUGUGAUGAAUAAACGAUUAGACGAAAUUGACUAUGCUACAUUUAGUAGGACAAUAAAAAAGGAAUUACAGAUUCUUACAGACGAAUACAAGAAAAAAAUAAAAAAAACAUUUGUCUUUUCUUAUUUGUGUAAACUAGAUAUAUUUAUAAUGGUCAUUUACCUUGUUCUACUUUUAUUAGAAGUGUUGUUAUUAAAAAAUAACAACAUCAUAAGCACCUACUAUUUAACAACCCUAUUUGUAAUAAUAGUAUUGCUGUUGUUGUUGUACAAAUUUAUUUAUUACGAAAUUUAUACAACUAAAAACUAUGAAUUUAUAAACAAAAUAGAAAAGGCUAAAAAUAUUUUAUCUAUAAAAAGUUAUGUGAAGAAUAAAAAAGAAGAAAGUAAUUUUACUUACUUAAGUAAUUCAAAUUUUAUUUUCAUUUUCAGAAAUAAAAAAUGGGAGUUAUUACCGACUAAUUUGGUU